rnacentral:rRNA from 1 species
UACGUAGGGAGCAAGCGUUAAUCGGAAUUACUGGGCGUAAAGCGUGCGCAGGCGGUGAUGUAAGACAGAUGUGAAAUCCCCGGGCUCAACCUGGGAACUGCAUUUGUGACUGCAUCGCUGGAGUGCGGCAGAGGGGGAUGGAAUUCCGCGUGUAGCAGUGAAAUGCGUAGAUAUGCGGAGGAACACCGAUGGCGAAGGCAAUCCCCUGGGCCUGCACUGACGCUCAUGCACGAAAGCGUGGGGAGCAAACAGG